rnacentral:SRP_RNA from 14 species
CUGUCACCUGUAUGGCUGUGGGAAUGCUGUGGAUCUCAGUAUGUCUCCUGUGCCAUGUAGAGGCUUCACCCCAUCCAAGCAUCUAGUCUGCAAGGCUGACAACAUGUAAAUGUUGGCAUCCUGGCAGUUAAAGACCUGGGAACCGGCUCAGGCUGGCAACAGAGCAAGCAGAACUAGGCUCUAGAUGCAGUGGAGGGAUA